UCACCAACCUCCCUUUCGUCUCUCUCUCUCUCUCUCUCUCUCUUUGAAACCCUAAUGCAUCCAUAGAUUCUUUAAUGGUCUCAUCCAUAAAUCUGAACUCAAUCUUUAAUUUCAAACCCUAAAUACUCUAUAUAUUAAAGAUCAACUAUGAAAACCCUCUUUGAUUCAAGGCUAUUGAUAAAGAAAACCCUGUAACUUCGAAGUUUUGAAGUUUCAAAACGAAGCUUUGUUGUUUUUCCCGACUCUCUAAGAUCUUCCUCUGGUGACAGCCAUAUUUUACGACUCAAAGUUCUUGACUCAAUGAUCAACCAAACCCCAAAUAAUAGAUCAUCCAAAUCAACCUACUGCCCAGGAUGCUACUGUUAUUCCCCCUUCUACUAUCCAAGAAGACCCUAUUGAUAAUCCUUCAAAACCACCUAAGGUGCAUGCAAAAGGUACUGGGAGAAAACCUUCAAGAGCAUGGGAUCAUUUUGAUAAAAUCAAGUCUAAAGAUGGGGUAACUAGGGUUGUUUGUAAAUAUUGUCAAAAGGAGUAUUUGGCUGAUUCAAAGGGGCAUAGGACAAGCAACUUAUUGAGUCACUUGGCUUUUUGUCGAAAAUAUCCUCACAGAGAUGUGGAUAAUAAUGGACAACAAACUUUAUCUUUUCAGUCCAAAAAAGAUGGAGACGAGGGUGUUAAUCUUGUGGCAACGAGCGUUAGUGUAGAAGCUGCAAGAAGAGCUCUUGCUGAGAUGAUAGUGCUUGAUGAAUUACUUUUUAGGUUUGUGGAAGGUAAAGGGUUUAAGAGAUUUUGUGCUGUUUUGCAACCAAAGUUUAACAUUCCAUCUCGUGUUACCAUUGCUAGAGACAUAGCAGGGAGUUUCAACAAUGAGAGGGAUCGGUUGAGGAAAGUAUUAAAAGGGCGUAGGAUUUGCCUUACCAUGAAAGAAAAUUUUGAAAAGCAUUGAGGUAAUGGGAAGAAAAUCAACUUACUUGCGUAUGUUGUUGUUUUACUUGAUCCUAGAAAGAAACUGAGGUAUCUGAAAUUCUGUUUUGCAUAAUUACUUGUUGAAAGAGUGGUGAAUGAGAUAACAGGUUGGGUAAAGGAUUGUCUAUCUCGUUUAUAUGAGCAUUAUGCUUCUCAUGAUUCGGUAAUUAUCGAAAUGUCUAAUGUGUGGAAAGGAUCAGCGAUGAAGGUUGAUGAUCCACAUCUAUUAAUUGCUUCUCAAUUUAAUAUUUAUUUGGAAAAGGAAUGCUCUAGUGUGUGUAAAUCUGAGGUUGAUAGGUACUUGGCAGACAGGUGUGAAGCUUCCAAUGAAGAAAAGUUUGAUAUAUUAAGAUGGUGGAAGGUCAAUUCUUCCAGUAUAGAGUGUUGUCCCAAGUUGCAUGUGAUGUCUUGGCAAUACCCAUCUCUAUAGUAGCUUCUGAAUUAGCCUUUGAUACAGGAGGACGCAUUCUAGACCCAUUUCGUAGUUCAUUAUCUCCGGUGAUGGUGGAGGCUCUGAUAUGUACACAUAAUUGGCUUCAAAGCACAGUUCCUAUUUCUCUUCGAAAGGUAAUGGAUAAUGUGGAGGAACUUAAACAAUAUGACCCUACAGCUCUUUCUGAAUUUGCAUCAACCUCAAACCCAAGUUCAAAUGUUAUCACACUCUAGUAUGGCUUGGUAAAGUUACUCAAUUCUACAUCUUUAAUAUUUACUUCUUACUUAAUUAAUAAAAUUUAUUUGCAACAUGUUCUCAUCUUCUAUGUUUUUUGAAUUUGCAAGCUUCAAUCUUUUUGGUUUCAUGGGGAGUUAACUGAGUUUCUUGACUAAUUUUUUUAUACAGUUAACAUAGAUCAGCACUUUUCUUUUUGACUUCAUAAACAAAUAUUUUUGCACAUGGAUAAUGAUUGAGAUAACUAUACUUGUGAAUGUUUUGAUGGAUGGUGACAAACUAAGUAGUUAGCUUAUUUUGUUAGGUUU